CGAGGAGCACCGAAAAUGCAACGCAAAGUGGGCAAAAUAGAAAAGCUCAGCCACUAAAGUAAAAAAUAUUUAAAGAAAAGGAUAUAUUCAAAACAAUAAUUUUAAAACAGUUUUAAUCAAAGUAGUCAACAAUUAGGCAUAACUCUAAAAAUAACUGCUAUCAGUACCGAUUUAACAGCGAAUUCCAGAAUAAACGUGCUGGAAGCAUUGUGUCGCGUCCAACGCAGCUUUUGUGGGAAGUUGGCGCGACGCAGACGCUCUAAAUAGCCAUCCGUGGCAACGGCGGUGAGGAAGAUCUUUCUCACAUGCGGCAACACUUGGUCUUUUAGCUGUCUGGC